AUGACACGCCUCUACUCCACCACGGCGUGCGCGUCCCGCGUCCGCAUCCGCUGCCGCUGCCACCUCUCCUCCACCACCACCUCGGCGCCCUCGCGCUCCUGGUCGCCCCGCGCCGCCUUCGCCGCGGCCACAGAGCGCGUCCGUUCAGGCACGCUCGGCCGACCAGACGCACACCGCCUGUUCGACGAAUUGUUACGGCGGGACACCCCGGUCCCCAGCCGCCCCCUGAACGACCUCCCUCCCGUGCUCGCCCGCGCCACGUCCUCCGCAUCCUGCGUCACAGAUGGGCCCGCCCUCGCCGUCGCCCUCUUCAGCCGCGUGCUCCGAGCGGAAGCCGACCAGGUCGUCGCCAACAGCUUCCUCAAGUGCCUCUGCUGCGCCAAGCGGACCGACGAGGCCGUCGAGGUACUGCUUCAUAGGAUGCCCACACGGCACAUACAACAUACACUAGUUCUUAAGAGGUUAUGUGAGGAUGGAAGGAGCCAGGGGGCACUCGGCCUGCUCCACACGGUGGCGAAACAGGGAGGUGGCUACCAGUAUAAGAAAUCUAGACUGCCUGCUUGUAGCAUUGAGUUCAUUUUGCGGGAAGGAAACAUCAAUAUUAACCCUGAAGUUCAGAGCUGCUACAAGUUCAGGAUUGUUUUGUGCCUACAUCAUCUUGAGGUUCCAAGCUAUGCUUAA
rnacentral:rRNA from 1 species